UCACACAGAUACAUAAUUAAAUGAAGUAAAAGAUAAAACAAUUUCAGUGAUGAAUGUCACUUAUUUCUGAGGCA